ACCCGCUGAACUUAAGCAUAUCAAUAAGCGGAGGAAAAGAAACCAACAGGGAUUGCCUCAGUAACGGCGAGUGAAGCGGCAACAGCUCAAAUUUUAAAGCUGGCGUCUUCGACGCCCGCGUUGUAAUUUGGAGAGGCAUCUUCGGUUUGGGCGCCAGCCUAUGUUCCUUGGAACAGGACGUCACAGAGGGUGAGAAUCCCGUGCUUGGCUGGCUGUCCCUUGCCAUGUGAAGUGCCUUCGACGAGUCGAGUUGUUUGGGAAUGCAGCUCAAAAUGGGUGGUAAAUUCCAUCUAAAGCUAAAUAUUGGCGGGAGACCGAUAGCGCACAAGUAGAGUGAUCGAAAGAUGAAAAGCACUUUGAAAAUAGAGUUAAAAAGUACGUGAAAUUGUUGAAAGGGAAGCGCUUGAGACCAGACUCGGCCGGGGAUGAUCAGCCGUCCUUCUGGGCGGUGCACUUGUCUCCGGUCGGGCCAGCAUCGGUUGAGACGGCGGGAUAAAGGCCCGGGGAAUGUGGCUCCUUUCGGGGAGUGUUAUAGCCCCGGACGCAAUGCCGCCAGCCUCGACCGAGGACCGCGCUUUUUGCUAGGAUGCUGGCGUAAUGGUCUUCAGCGACCCGUCUUGAAACACGGACC
rnacentral:rRNA from 1 species